UCCCAGUUAGUACAAUGGUUAGUAUAGGGCACUCUCAGUUACCGAUCCGACGAUCUCAACUGAACUGCUCAGAUCAGGGUUCGAUUCCCUGGCCGGGAA
rnacentral:tRNA from 1 species